rnacentral:piRNA from 1 species
UCUGACCCAUCAUAUCCGAUACCAUCAAU